AGUUCAUCUUUGAAAAUGGAUAAAAACGGAUCAUGUGCCCCUGCACAUGACGCAAGGGACAACAUUAGAAAAAUUACAUUAAUAAAUUUAUUUAUUUUUUCCUACUAUAAUUUCUAACAAAUAAAACAGUAUGUGCUCAUAAGAGUUAUCUGUAGACAAGGGUAAAGUUAUCGAGGAUAAUAUAACAUUUGACAUUCACAAUGAACAAUCUAAGGUGAUAAAUAUAUUCAAACUCAUAAAAUAUAUACGUAUAAUUUUGUGAAAGGAAGGAUUUUCUAAUACGUGUAAUUUCAAAAUUGAUAGAAGACUCGAUUCAAGUCCUAAUUUAUACUAGAAUUUUUUUUUACAUUUAUAAUUUACAAAAGCAGUUGACAAAGCAUCAGACUUUCUUUUACAAUUUCAAACCCUGCAAAAGCAGCAGUUGACAUAGGCAAUAAAAUUCUUCUGAAUUUACCUUUAAAAAAAAUUGAAAGCAGCAUAAAGUGAAUCAUUUGAACAAAAAUUUAGACAAAUUAAAUCAAUCAAUUAUUAGGAAUACAGAAACAGAUCUAAAGAAGCAUAGAGAUCAAAAAACAAACAGACAAACAUAUAUACAUAUACAAUAACAAAGAACUAGACAGAGAGAGAUGAACAAAUCGUGUAAACUAUAAACAGAUCCAUUCAAACAUACAGAAACAUUAUAUAAUCGAAAAGAGAAGACUGACCUUCGGUAGACUAAUUAAUGGAGAACUGGAGAGAGUUAUCUAGCUCUGACGACCGAGAGAGGGGAGAGUGGGUGCGAGAAGAUUGAAUGCUUGAUUUUAUAGGAAUUUGAAGUGAUGAGUGAGUUUUAUACCUACGAAUCGAGGUUUUAUACGAAUCAGGUAUUCUUGACUUGAUGAUAUUGUGAGUUAUUGGGUAUUUUCGGUUCUUUUUUAUGCAUUUUAGUGUUGUGUAGGAAAAUGGGUCCGAGUUUGAAAUGGUGUGCAAAGCAACAAAUCAUAAGGUAUCAGUCAUGAAUGAGCAGUGAAAUGCAGCAAUUGGAAGUCGGCGUGCAUCAGGAUUCGAAAGCGUGCGAUGACGUGCAUUAAGCAUCGACGGCGUGCAGCAAGUAUAGGCAUAUUGGGGCAAGAUGGCACGGCGAAGCGAGCAUACAAUGGUUGGCUGAGCAGUUGGGCGCGCAACGGCGCGUAUAAGGCACCAGCACUGCGGCGCUGGUGGCGCAGAAACUGAGCGCUGCUGCGCUGUUGUGCGAGACUUGGCUGGUUAAGUGUUGUGCUAUCCUAUUCGACUUAGGAUGUUAAGUUAAUUUGAGUUGGGCGAGGAUUGUCCAUCUUAGGGCUGCAUGAGAGCUUAUAUAUAUGAUCUAUGACAGAUAAUAAAGGGGAUUCAUAUAUAUACAUAGGAAGCUGGGAUUGUAGAUCAGAACGGAAGGGAGACGCCAAGGAGAGCAGAAAUUGGAGAAGGAUCGUGCUAUUGCACAUUGUUCUUUUAUCCCUUCUUUUAUUAUCUUGAGGAUGUUCUAUAAUUUCACUAUGAACUAAUUUUUAAUUAAGAUUGCAAUGGAACUCGAUGUUUAGUUUUAAUUAAAUUACUUUGUUAUUGGUUAUUAUUGAUCAUAUUUGAGUCGUUUAUCAUAUUUUUUACUUAUUGAUAAUUGUCUAGCUAACAAUUAUUGUGAUAACCUGUAUGAAAUUGACAAAUUGAUUAUAGGUUUAGAUAUGAAUAUGAUAACAUGCAUCUAGUUUAUUCUUCUUAGGAUUGAAUAACUUGAUUUGUGUAUAGGAUAGACAUAUACCUAUAUGUCGUAUGGAAAUUAUAGUGGGAAUCUGAUCUUAAUGAAUCUUGUUCUAAGUUAAUUCACAUAGACAUAUAGUGAUUUAAUUAGGCAGGAUAUUUUUAUAUGACCAUUGAAAGGGGCUUAUAGAUAAUUGUGAAUUCUCAGAUAACGAUUUAGUAUGAUUAAUUAAUUGCAAAGAGAGUAAAGAGAUUUAGACAGGGAUUGGGAGAAAUUGUGAUCUUAGCUUUACAUUUGAUAGUAAUCCAUGCUUAAGAAUUUAUUUGUUUUAGAGUAAUUAAUUUUAGUUCAUAAUUUAAUCAUUUGUUUAAAUAAAAUUGAAUUGAUAUAAAGUUAGUACUUGGUUAAAAUUAUUAGCAUAUUCCUCGUGAGAACGAUACUCUAUUUAUCACUUUAUUACUUGUUGAUUGUGUAUGCUUACACAUAAAUUGUCAAUACUCAAUUCAGACAAGUUUUUGGCGUCGUUGCCAGGAACAAAUUUUUAGCGCCGUUACCGAAAUUGACCUAUUGCGAUAUUGUACAUUUUUAUACGAAGACACUAUACUUAUUGAUAAAAUACAUUGAUUGCAGUUUUUGUAUAAAAUACAUUUUUAUAAAAUGAAAAAGUUUUGUAAAAAUUUAAAACACUGAUUAUAGCAUUAUAAAAUUAAAAUAUUAACGUAUAUAUUUCAACUUAGUGUCAACGAGAUGGAAUAGUUUUACAAUUUAUCAUGAAAAAAAUAAAAUAAAAUGAAAUGAAAAAUUAUAACAUGUUUUAGAGGAUAAGAAAUCUAUAACUAAUAUAAACGCGGAGAGAAAUUAAUAUAUUAUAAAUUUCUUCGUUGGCAUUUUUUUGUGGUCAUCAUGUUGUUAUGAAUGGUCUUCCAAGGACUAAUGUCCCUAUUACUAAGACUAUAUAUUUAUUAUUUGUGGGUAUCAGGAGUUUACAGUUUCAAGUUGACCUUGUCGGAAAACUGAAGGCGCAGGCUGCUCGAUGAAGAUCUUAGUUGACCAUAAAGAUGCAAUAUCCCUUAUGCCACUAAGUUUAGAUUUGAAGUUAAAGUAGGAUUUGAAUUUCAGACGGUUUAAAUUUACUAUUAGUUACAAUUAAUUGUUGCAUAACAAAGAUCAACUCUUUUUAUUAACAUUUUUUUUAUAAAAAAAACAUAUUUUAUUUCAAUUGAAUUCUAGAGAUACAUAUCAUCCUAGAGCCUAGGGAGAAUCUAGAGAAGUAUUCAGUUCAAAUUUCUGUUAAGGGCUAGAUUCAAAUAUGUAAAUAUGUGAUCUUGCACGGUAAAGGAAGAGGNNNNNNNNNNNNNNNNNNNNNNNNNNNNNNNNNNNNNNNNNNNNNNNNNNNNNNNNNNNNNNNNNNNNNNNNNNNNNNNNNNNNNNNNNNNNNNNNNNNNUACCAAACCAACCUCGUUUUGGGUAUAAGGUGGAUUAGAAGUUGGAUAGUUGAAUUGAGUAGACAGAAAUAAUUGAAUUAAAUUUCAAAAAAAAAAAGAGUUUAAUGACCUAGGUUUACAUACAAAUACACACGCGCGUAUAUAUAUUUAUAUGUAACAGUCGUAAUUAUGGUUGAAAAUCAUACCGUGACAGUGGUUGGCCGGUGCAAUUAUAGGCGAAGACAACUAUCGGGGAAGUGGGGCAAGUCUGGUCGUGCUGGGGGUAGGGGAUUCAGAACAGAGUUAUCUGGCUCUGUCGAAAAGAGAAGCGGUAGAUGAAUUAAUGGAGAACUGGAUAGACUUCUCUGGCUCUGUCGGCCGAUAGAGGGGGUGCUAGAAGAUAGAAUUAGUACUAAGCAAGUAAUCAAAUUGGAACUAAAAUC
rnacentral:lncRNA from 1 species